UAAAGCGCAGCAAAAAAAACAAUCAGAUACAAUAUCAGGGAUCUCCUGGUAAGGCUUCUGGCUACCAUUAGUUCUGAAUACUGAGGUUUUGAUGCGAAAAAUGGCUGUGAGUUUUGAAAUGUCUUUGAGAGUUUCUUGGAUUUGUUGCCUGCUAAUUGGAGGGAUAACCUGUUAUCCUCCACCUAAAGGUAAUUAUAGCUAUAUUCCCCAAAAUCAAGUAAAAGGAACUGGCCGCAAUGCAGCGGAAGCUACCGGCUCCCGUGCCUCGACAGGUGAAGCUACCGGCUCCCGUACCUCAGCAGGUGAAGCAGCCACCCAUAAUGCCUCUGCAAGCGUCACGACUGGCCCAAAUACCUUAGCUGAAGCAACUGGCCACAAUGCUUCAUCAAGUGCCACGACUGUCCCAAAUGCCUUAGGUGAAGCAGCUGGCCACAGUGCCGCGCAAGCGAUCACCCAUAAUGCCUCGGCAAGUAUGGCAACUGGCCCAAAUACCUUAGGUGAAGCAACUGGCCUCGGAAGCAACUGGCCACGGUGCCUCGGCAGCGGAAGCAACUGGACACAGUGCCAUGCAAACGGCCACCCAUAAUGCCUCAGAAGCGGCUAAC